ensembl:misc_RNA Y_RNA Y RNA
GGUUGGUCCGAGUGCAGUGGUGUUUACAACUAAUUGAUCACAACCAGUUACAGAUUUCUUUGUUCCUUCUCCACUCCCACUGCUUCACUUGACUAGCCUUUA